UACAGAGGUCUCGAGCGUUGUUCGGAUUUAUUGGGCGUAAAGGGUGCGUAGGCGGUGUGGCAAGUCAAGUGUGAAAUCUCGGAGCUCAACUUCGAAACUGCACUUGAUACUACUAUGCUAGAGGGUUGUAGAGGAGACCGGAAUUCACGGUGUAGCAGUGAAAUGCGUAGAUAUCGUGAGGAAGACCAGUUGCGAAAGCGGGUCUCUGGGCAAUUCCUGACGCUGAGGCACGAAGGCUAGGGGAGCAAUCGGG
rnacentral:rRNA from 1 species